GAUGAACGCUGGCGGCGUGCCUAAUACAUGCAAGUCGAGCGAACAGACGAGGAGCUUGCUCCUCUGACGUUAGCGGCGGACGGGUGAGUAACACGUGGAUAACCUACCUAUAAGACUGGGAUAACUUCGGGAAACCGGAGCUAAUACCGGAUAAUAUAUUGAACCGCAUGGUUCAAUAGUGAAAGACGGUUUUGCUGUCACUUAUAGAUGGAUCCGCGCCGCAUUAGCUAGUUGGUAAGGUAACGGCUUACCAAGGCUACGAUGCCUAGCCGACCUGAGAGGGUGAACGGCCAACCUGGAACUGAGACACGGUCCAGACUCCUACGGGAGGCAGCCGUAGGGAAUCUUCCGCAAUGGGCGAAAGCCUGACGGAGCAACGCCGCGUGAGUGAUGAAGGUCUUCGGAUCGUAAAACUCUGUUAUUAGGGAAGAACAAAUGUGUAAGUAACUAUGCACGUCUUGACGGUACCUAAUCAGAAAGCCACGGCUAACUACGUG
rnacentral:rRNA from 1 species